rnacentral:rRNA from 1 species
AGAGCGAACGCUGGCGGCAGGCUUAACACAUGCAAGUCGAGUGGGCGUAGCAAUACGUCAGCGGCAGACGGGUGAGUAACGCGUGGGAACAUACCUUUUGGUUCGGAACAACACAGGGAAACUUGUGCUAAUACCGGAUAAGCCCUUACGGGGAAAGAUUUAUCGCCGAAAGAUUGGCCCGCGUCUGAUUAGCUAGUUGGUGAGGUAACGGCUCACCAAGGCGACGAUCAGUAGCUGGUCUGAGAGGAUGAUCAGCCACAUUGGGACUGAGACACGGCCCAAACUCCUACGGGAGGCAGCAGUGGGAAUAUUGGACAAUGGGCGCAAGCCUGAUCCAGCCAUGCCGCGUGAGUGAUGAAGGCCCUAGGGUUGUAAAGCUCUUUUGUGCGGGAAGAUAAUGACGGUACCGCAAGAAUAAGCCCCGGCUAACUUCGUGCCAGCCAGCCGC